GCGCACCGGAGACACUAUUGAACUCUGUCUGAAGAUUGCAGUCUGAGCAUAAACUAAAUAAGUUAAAACUUUCAACAACGGAUCUCUUGGCUCUCGCAUCGAUGAAGAACGCAGCGAUAUGUGACAAGUAAUAUGAAUUGCAGAAUUCAGUGAAUCAUCGAAUCUUUGAACGCAUCUUGCACUCCUUGGUAUUCCGAGGAGUAUGUCUGUUUGAGUGUCAUGAAUUCUUCAACCCUCCCUUUUCUUAGUGAAUCGAGAGGUGUUUGGAUUCUGAGUGUUGCUCCUAAAUCGAGCUCAUUCGUAAUGCAUUAGCAUCCAUAUUCGAAUUUCGGAUUGACUUGGCGUAAUAGACUAUUCGCUGAGGAAUCUAACUUCGGUUAGAGCCGGAUUUGAACUAGGAAGCUUAUAAUCUAGCUUAGUCUACUUUAAGUUUAGACCUCAAAUCAGAUAG
rnacentral:rRNA from 1 species